rnacentral:pre_miRNA from 1 species
UAACUUUCAUCCUACACCGUUGGAUCGAGAAAUGGACGUUCGAGAUUCGUCCACGUCACCCUGAGUUAAAAUUUAACUCGCAGAUCAUCUCGGACGUCCAUUUCUCGAUCCAACGGUGUAGAAUGAGAGUUG